GAUGUGUGCCUUUCUAACGUUCAGCUUUCCCCUGCCCAAGCCGAAUCCCUGACCACCCUGCGCAGUCUCUCAACCCUGAGACGGCCUCAUCGUUCACUGCUGUGCUGGUCCGCGGCAGAUUAAUAACACAUUUGCUCAAGAUGCAUAUUUUCCCCAGCUACUGAUUGCUGAUUCUUUUACACCAGAAAGUCUGGGGAGGCGGUGUCUGCACACCAACACGCCACUUAACUGUCAAUCCCAUUUACACACAACUUUCUGAUGAGGAUCCCUUUGAGUAAAGUCUUAAAUAAGGCAAAAA